rnacentral:rRNA from 1 species
CCUACGUGAGGCUGCAAUGAGGAAUAUUGGUCAAUGGGCGCGAGCCUGAACCAGCCAAGUCGCGUGAGGGAAGACGGCCCUACGGGUUGUAAACCUCUUUUGCCGGGAAGCAACGGGCGCCACUUGUUGCGCCACUGAUAGUACCCGGACAAAAAGCCUCGGCUAACUACGUGCCCGCAGCCGCGGUAAUACGUAGGAUGCGAGCGUUAUCCGGAUUUAUUGGGUUGAAAGGGUUCGUAGGCGGAGCGUUAAGUCAGUGGUAAAAUUGAGGGGCUCAACCCCUUCCCGCCAUUGAAACUGGCGCUCUUGAGUGGAAGAGAAGUAUGCGGAAUGCGUGGUGUAGCGGUGAAAUGCAUAGAUAUCACGCAGAACCCCGAUUGAGAAGGCAGCAUGCCGGCUUCCGACUGACGCUGAAGCACGAAAGCGUGGGGAUCGAACAGGAUUAGAUACCCUGGUAGUC